UAUCACAAGGAAAUGCUGGGAUUGAUUUUGGGGGUAAUUGCCUCAAAAUUUUAGGAAUUAGGGGACAAAAAGGGGCAAAAAUCAAGCAUUUUUCUAGUUUCAUGACAAUAACUUGUGUGUAAGUGUAUGGAUCUUUCUGAAAUUGUACUACAAGGUUUCAUAUCACAAAGGGAAAGCUGGAAUUGAGUUCGGGGGUAAUUGCCUGAAACGUUUAGGAAUUGGGGGCCAAAAAGGGGCCAAAAAUAAGCAUUUUUCUAGUUU